rnacentral:rRNA from 1 species
AUUGAACGCUGGCGGCAGGCUUAACACAUGCAAGUCGAGCGGGGUGAUGGUGCUUGCACUAUCACUUAGCGGCGGACGGGUGAGUAAUGCUUAGGAAUCUGCCUAUUAGUGGGGGACAACAUCUCGAAAGGGAUGCUAAUACCGCAUACGUCCUACGGGAGAAAGCAGGGGAUCACUUGUGACCUUGCGCUAAUAGAUGAGCCUAAGUCGGAUUAGCUAGUUGGUGGGGUAAAGGCCUACCAAGGCGACGAUCUGUAGCGGGUCUGAGAGGAUGAUCCGCUACACUGGGACUGAGACACGGCCCAGACUCCUACGGGAGGCAGCAGUGGGGAAUAUUGGACAAUGGGGGGAACCCUGAUCCAGCCAUGCCGCGUGUGUGAAGAAGGCCUUAUGGUUGUAAAGCACUUUGAGCGAGGAGGAGGCUCUUUUGGUUAAUACCCAAGAUGAGUGGACGUUACUCGCAGAAUAAGCACCGGCUAACUCUGUGCCAGCAGCCGCCGUAA